UCCACCCCGGGUCCCCCUCCGCCCCCACCCGCCCCCAACCCCAGCCCUCCCCACUCACCCCGGGCCGGGCGCGUACCGGGCCUAGGUUAGAGAAGACAGGCAGCUCCAUUUCAGACAAAUGCCAGCAGGGACGAGGCCCCGACACCCAGAAUCCUUGUAGCCGCGACAGUGGACUGGCAUUUCGGAAGACCUCGAACUGAUGCCCUACCUGCAGCAGUGUGGCGUCCACAGCAUCCGAAGACAUCUUCAGUUCCCAACGUGAUGCCUCCAAAUCAACGCUUGCUAUUAAAGCUAUAGGACAAUUAAACACCUUCCUACCUUCACAAAUGCUAUUAUGACUGCACAAUUUAUCAAAGUUGAAAUACAAUAAAUAAUUAAAUCAUUUCUAUUUUACUUAACAAGUUUUUUUUUAAGUUACAAACAAGAAAAGGAAAAAGUGUUUUUAGACAAUUCAUUUGUUUCUGAUUCUUUGUGAGGUUUCAAAUAGUAACAGACUAGUAGAAAAUAUUGAAAUGGACUAAGUUCUUAAGAACUACAAUUUUAUACGAAACUUGUUUUGGGGAACAUCUCUUUAAUAAAGUUAUUUGCAGGGAAUCCAAAUAAUUCCAAUAAAGUGUAUUUCUGAUUAAUGUUCUUGAAAUUCUUUGUUUUACACUGUAUUUGAUUCAUAUGUGCUACUUUUGGAGAGACAUACUGUCAUUCUUUCACCACAUCAGGAAUUGCUCAAUAAUUGAAUUGAAUUAAGUGAAAUCUAAGUAAACAUAUUAUUCUGUUUUGAGUAGAAAUGCUCUUUAAUCUUGCAUUCUUUCUAAUGUUAAUAGAACUGAAUACUGUUUUAGAGUUUAAAAAGAAAUGUAAAUGUUGGCAAAAUGAAUUAAGGAAAGAAACUUUAUUAAAGUCACUUUUUUGUUUUUU